UAUACUUGGGCUGGAUUAGGGCCGUCAUAAACAUUUACAUUUAAAUGGGCCACAUCUUUGCUGUUCAACUGGGCUACUUCCAAGACAAAGGAUGAGGGUUUACACACGUAUGUACAUAAAUAUAUAUAUAUAUAUAUAUACAUAAUUUCCUUUUUCUUUUUUUCUUCUUUUUCUUUGAAAACAUUUACAACAGUAUCCAAACUUAUAAACUAUAACACCAUCGGAGCUGGCCGAGCCGUCGCCAUUUUGUUCCUCCCCCUCCCUCUUCUUCCUGGAGUUCACGGCCCCUCUCAGAUCCGCGGUUCGGCGUCGGUCUCUCUGGACCUGGAGCUCCAGGUUACGAAAAUGAAUGAAUGAAGCGCCGCCUCAUGAAGAACCAGAUGAGCCAGUACAAGCUGCUCAGACCAUGGACAGGAUCUGCUGACGGAGCGAGGACAUGGAGGACAGACGCCAUCAUGACACUCAACCUCACAGGUGUGAUUCCCACAGGAGAGGGAGGAGCCACACACCUAAGAGACAUAACCGGGUGUUUACAACGU